UACGUAGGGGGCAAGCGUUGUCCGGAUUUAUUGGGCGUAAAGCGCGUGUAGGCGGCCAGGUAGGUCGGCUGUGAAAACUCGAGGCUCAACCUCGAGCUGUCGGCCGAAACCAUCUGGCUAGAGUCCGGAAGAGGAGAGUGGAAUUCCCGGUGUAGCGGUGAAAUGCGCAGAUAUCGGGAAGAACACCCGUGGCGAAGGCGGCUCUCUGGGACGGUACUGACGCUGAGACGCG
rnacentral:rRNA from 1 species